AGUGAACGCUGGCGGUAGGCCUAACACAUGCCAGUCGAACGGCCGCACAGUAAGAGCUUGCUCUUACGGGUGGCGAGUGGCGGACGGGUGAGUAAUAAACCGGAAUCUACUUUUUCGUGGGGGAUAACGUAGGGAAACUUACGCUAAUACAGCAUACGACCUACGGAUGAAAGCAGGGGAUCUUAGGACCUUGCGCGAUUGAAUGCGCCGAUGUCGGAUUAGCUAGUUGGCUGGGUAAAGGCCCACCAAGGCGACGAUCCGUAGCUGGUCUGAGAGGAUGAUCGGCCACACUGGAACUAGGACACGGUCCAGACUCCUACGGGGGGAAGCAGUGGGGAAUAUUGGACAAUGGGCGCAAGCCUGACCCAGCCAUACCGGGGGGUUGAAGAAGGCCUUCGGUUUGUAAAGCCCUUUUGUUGGGAAAGAAAAGCAGCAGGUUAAUACCCCGCUGUUGUGACGGUACCCAAAGAAUAAGCAACGGCUAACUUCGUG
rnacentral:rRNA from 1 species